rnacentral:rRNA from 1 species
AUUGAACGCUGGCGGCAUGCUUUACACAUGCAAGUCGAACGGCAGCGCGGGGCAACCUGGCGGCGAGUGGCGAACGGGUGAGUAAUAUAUCGGAACGUACCCAAGAGUGGGGGAUAACGUAGCGAAAGUUACGCUAAUACCGCAUACGAUCUAUGGAUGAAAGUGGGGGAUCGCAAGACCUCAUGCUCCUGGAGCGGCCGAUAUCUGAUUAGCUAGUUGGUGAGGUAAAGGCUCACCAAGGCGACGAUCAGUAGCUGGUCUGAGAGGACGACCAGCCACACUGGAACUGAGACACGGUCCAGACUCCUACGGGAGGCAGCAGUGGGGAAUUUUGGACAAUGGGCGCAAGCCUGAUCCAGCAAUGCCGCGUGAGUGAAGAAGGCCUUCGGGUUGUAAAGCUCUUUUGUCAGGGAAGAAACGGUGCGGAUUAAUACUCUGCGCUAAUGACGGUACCUGAAGAAUAAGCACCGGCUAACUACGUG